CGAGCAACCAAUUCGAGCGUGCUGCAACACAUCUCGACGCCUUACCCAGCCACAGCUCCGCCGCACCGCACCGCAACCCUAGCCGCCGCCGGAGCACGCCGCGACGCCGUCGACGGAGAGCACGCCGUGACGCCGUCCAGGGAGUUCACGCCGCGAGGACGCCCACGAAGAGCAGCACGGUACGCCGCGACGCCGUCGACGGAGCACACAGCCAGGGCGCCACCGACGCCGCCGGAGCCAGCCGUUGGGACCUCACCGGCCGUUCGUGGAGCCCACCGGCCAUCCGCAGAGCCCUGCGUCAAGGGAUCGACUGCUCGGGGCGCUGGCUCAUCAGGUCCAGUUAAGAGAAAUGAAAAGAAAGACUUUGAACAAUUGGUUUGCAAGCACUUCAAACACCCCCCGUGGCAACUUCAUCUGUUGAGCGAAUUUUUUCAGCUAUGAAGAUCAUCAAAACAGAUUUGCGCAAUAAGAUCUCGGAUGAUUGGCUCAAUGACUUAAUGGUGUGCUAUUGUGAGAAAAGGAUAUUCAAAAGUAUUCAUGAUGAUCAGAUCAUGAUACAAUUCCAGAAAAAGAGUGAUCGGAAAGCUCACCUGCCUCGUGAGUAUAAUGUGAUUGCUUAAGAG
rnacentral:rRNA from 1 species